rnacentral:lncRNA from 1 species
UCAAAUUUUACUCAGAGAACGAUAUCUCAGGCUGAUCCAGAUCAGACUAUGAUCCCUCAUAUCUCUACUAUCUUUCAGAUGCUUACAGCUCAGUCUGCACGACUUGAGGAGCUUGAGGGAUGUGUUCUGAGACUGACGGGCAGAGUUUAGAUUUACAGAGGUAGGUAUUAGCCUUAGCCCAUCCCCAGCCGCAAGAGGACAUCAUGGAGGUCUCCAACCUGUCUGCAGAGGCGGCUAGGCUUCGAGGCAUUUUGGAGAGUGGCUUUGAUUUUUUUAGAAGAGAGAUCAGGGACUCCAAUGAGGCUGUCUCUACUCAGAUUGGUACCCUGAUACAGUCCAUAUCGAGGACUUUGAAAUAAUUGGACACCAUCAGACUUGUUCUCCUAGCACAGUCCAUAUCUUCCCAGGCUCUAGGACCUUCUCGCCCUUCUGCUCGUGUCGGUACUUCUACCCAUGGCUGAGGCAGAUGUGGUCGAGGACGUGCUCGUAGCUUUGAUUCUGAGUCUCCUCAUCAUAUCUCUGACUCUUCUGAUUCUGACGGCUCUAGCCAUGAUAUUUAUUAGAUCUAGCAUAGUUAGUCUUUUAUGUCUAGGAUCUAACUUAUGGUCUUUGUAUUUGUUGGCUGAUUAACUCAUGGAUAGUUAUAUUUUUUGUUACCCAUGACUUUUGUAUGGCCUAUGUAUUUUGACUUGACUCUUAUGUAUUGUGACACUUAUGUAUCUGAUAACUCUUCAGUCAUAUUUUGGAUAUAUAUAUAUAUAUACUUUUAACUUCUAUGAAUGUUAUUUGGAUUAAUUAUUAUGAAUGACAAUAUCUUCUAUAUGAGCAAAUUGAAAUGUCCUUUAUGAUUGCUAUAGUGAGGGGGAGUCUUUUUCAUUUUUCUUUAAAAAUCACUUAAGAUCUUAAUUGAUGUUGUCAAAAAGAGGGAGUAGAGAAAUAAAAUCGGACAAUAAGCAAAUUUAUCAAAGAAAAUAAUCUUAUAAGUAAUUUUCAAACUCAUGAUGUUCAAACUACUCAUGAUGUAUUUUAUUCAAAUAAUUGACUAUAAUGUUUAAGUGAUGCAUCUUCAUAAAUUUAAAAUUCUUAAUCAAUGCUUUAUAUAUAUGUUAUAUUUUGCUUUUGCUCAACUAUUUUGUCAUCAUCAAAA